GAUGAACGCUAGCGACAGGCUUAACACAUGCAAGUCGAGGGGCAGCACGAUGUAGCAAUACAUUGGUGGCGACCGGCGCACGGGUGAGUAACGCGUAUGCAACCUACCUAUCAGAGGGGAAUAACCCGGCGAAAGUCGGACUAAUACCGCAUAAAACAGGGGUUCCACAUGGAAAUAUUUGUUAAAGAAUUAUCGCUGAUAGAUGGGCAUGCGUUCCAUUAGAUAGUUGGUGAGGUAACGGCUCACCAAGUCCACGAUGGAUAGGGGUUCUGAGAGGAAGGUCCCCCACACUGGUACUGAGACACGGACCAGACUCCUACGGGAGGCAGCAGUGAGGAAUAUUGGUCAAUGGGCAAGAGCCUGAACCAGCCAAGUCGCGUGAAGGAUGAAGGAUCUAUGGUUUGUAAACUUCUUUUAUAUGGGAAUAAAGUGAGGAACGUGUUCCUUUUUGUAUGUACCAUAUGAAUAAGCAUCGGCUAACUCCGUGCCAGCAGCCGCGGUAAUACGGAGGAUGCGAGCGUUAUCCGGAUUUAUUGGGUUUAAAGGGUGCGUAGGUGGCUAAUUAAGUCAGCGGUGAAAGUUUGUGGCUCAACCAUAAAAUUGCCGUUGAAACUGGUUAGCUUGAGUAUAUUUGAGGUAGGCGGAAUGCGUGGUGUAGCGGUGAAAUGCAUAGAUAUCACGCAGAACUCCGAUUGCGAAGGCAGCUUACUAAACUAUAACUGACACUGAAGCACGAAAGCGUGGGGAUCAAACAGGAUUAGAUACCCUGGUAGUCCACGCAGUAAACGAUGAUUACUAGCUGUUUGCGAUCCACAGUAAGCGGCGCAGCGAAAGCGUUAAGUAAUCCACCUGGGGAGUACGCCGGCAACGGUGAAACUCAAAGGAAUUGACGGGGGCCCGCACAAGCGGAGGAACAUGUGGUUUAAUUCGAUGAUACGCGAGGAACCUUACCCGGGUUUGAACGCAUUCGGACCGGAGUGGAAACACUUCUUCUAGUAAUAGCCGUUUGCGAGGUGCUGCAUGGUUGUCGUCAGCUCGUGCCGUGAGGUGUCGGCUUAAGUGCCAUAACGAGCGCAACCCUUAUCACUAGUUGCUAACAGGUCAUGCUGAGGACUCUAGUGAGACUGCCAGCGUAAGCUGUGAGGAAGGUGGGGAUGACGUCAAAUCAGCACGGCCCUUACAUCCGGGGCGACACACGUGUUACAAUGGUGGGGACAAAGGGCAGCUACCGUGUGAGCGGAUGCAAAUCUCCAAACCCCAUCUCAGUUCGGAUCGAAGUCUGCAACCCGACUUCGUGAAGCUGGAUUCGCUAGUAAUCGCGCAUCAGCCAUGGCGCGGUGAAUAAAAUCCCGGGCCUUGCACA
rnacentral:rRNA from 1 species